CGGGGGGAGGGGGGGGUUUCCUCAGCCCAGAUUGUGAGAGGGUGAAGGCCAGGCUGAGGGACCCCACUGGUGCACG
rnacentral:pre_miRNA from 1 species